rnacentral:rRNA from 1 species
CCUACGGGAGGCAGCAGUGAGGAAUAUUGGACAAUGGGCGCAAGCCUGAUCCAGCCAUGCCGCGUGCAGGAAGACGGUCCUAUGGAUUGUAAACUGCUUUUAUACAGGAAGAAACACCUCUACGUGUAGAGACUUGACGGUACUGUAUGAAUAAGCAUCGGCUAACUCCGUGCCAGCAGCCGCGGUAAUACGGAGGAUGCAAGCGUUAUCCGGAAUCAUUGGGUUUAAAGGGUCCGUAGGCGGUUUAAUAAGUCAGUGGUGAAAGCCCAUCGCUCAACGAUGGAACGGCCAUUGAUACUGUUAAACUUGAAUUAUUAGGAAGUAACUAGAAUAUGUAGUGUAGCGGUGAAAUGCUUAGAGAUUACAUGGAAUACCAAUUGCGAAGGCAGGUUACUACUAAUAUAUUGACGCUGAUGGACGAAAGCGUGGGGAGCGAACAGGAUUAGAUACCCUGGUAGUCCACGCCGUAAACGAUGGAUACUAGCUGUUCGGAGCAAUCUGNGUGNGAGAGAAGAGAUAUAUCCACCGNGGAGGUACGUCGCGAGAGAGAACGUACAAUAGAGUAGUACGGACGUGAGAGNGCGACGGACGACGACGAGGGAGGAGG